rnacentral:rRNA from 1 species
AUUGAACGCUGGCGGCAGGCCUAACACAUGCAAGUCGAACGAGUGGCGGACGGGUGAGUAAUGUCUGGGACCCUGCCCGAUGGCGGGGGAUAACUACUGGAAACGGUAGCUACUACCGCAUACCAUCAGAUGUGCCCAGAUGGGAUUAGCUAGUAGGUGGGGUAACGGCUCACCUCGGCGACGAUCCCUAGCUGGUCUGAGAGGAUGACCAGCCACACGGGAACUGAGAAACGGUCCAGACUCCUACGGGAGGCAGCAGUGGGGAAUAUGGCACAAUGGGCGCAAGCCUGAUGCAGCCAGGCCGCGUGUAUGAAGAAGGCCUUCGGGUUGUAAAGUACUUGCAGCGAGGAGGCGUUACUCGCAGAAGAAGCACCGGCUAACUCCGUGCCAGCAGCCGCGGUAAUAC